rfam:Echinostoma caproni strain Egypt genome assembly, scaffold: ECPE_scaffold0020259
GGCUUCGUAGCUCAGCUGGUAGAGCAUGCGCGUACAAAGCGUAGGCGUUGUUCAUGCGUGGGUUCUAACCCCACCGAGGCUA